CGGGGCGUAGCGCAGCCUGGUAGCGCACCAGUCUGGGGGACUGGUGGUCGCUGGUUCAAAUCCAGUCGCCCCGACCA
rnacentral:tRNA from 1 species